rnacentral:misc_RNA from 1 species
UCUCCGUAGGUGAACCUGCGGAGGGAUCAUUACCAGAGAUGGCGGGCCCCGGGCCCCCGUCCCCAACCCUUUGUUGACCAAACCACUUUUGCCUCGGGGGCAGAGCGGCCUCCGCCGCCCCCGGUGGACCAACCAACCCUGUCUCUGUAUGUCGGAGUUUUUGAUGAAUGAAUGAAAACUUUUAACAACGGAUCUCUUGGUUCUGGCAUCGAUGAAGAACGCAGC